rnacentral:rRNA from 1 species
GAUGAACGCUAGCGGGAGGCCUAACACAUGCAAGCCGAGCGGUAUUGUUUCUUCGGAAAUGAGAGAGCGGCGUACGGGUGCGUAACACGUGUACAACCUGCCUUUAUCUGGGGGAUAGCCUUUCGAAAGGAAGAUUAAUACUCCAUAAUAUAUUGAACGGCAUCGUUUAAUAUUGAAAGCUCCGGCGGAUAGAGAUGGGCACGCGCAAGAUUAGCUAGUUGGUGAGGUAACGGCUCACCGAGGCGAUGAUCUUUAGGGGGCCUGAGAGGGUGAUCCACCACACUGGUACUGAGACACGGACCAGACUCCUACGGGAGGCAGCAGUGAGGAAUAUUGGUCAAUGGGUGCAAGCCUGAACCAGCCAUCCCGCGUGAAGGACGACUGCCCUAUGGGUUGUAAACUUCUUUUGUAUAGGGAUAAACCUACCCUCGUGAGGGUAGCUGAAGGUACUAUACGAAUAAGCACCGGCUAACUCCGUGCCAGCCGCCGCGGUAA